rnacentral:rRNA from 1 species
GAUGAACGCUGGCGGCGUGCCUAAUACAUGCAAGUCGAGCGAACAGACGAGGAGCUUGCUCCUUUGACGUUAGCGGCGGACGGGUGAGUAACACGUGGAUAACCUACCUAUAAGACUGGGAUAACUUCGGGAAACCGGAGCUAAUACCGGAUAACAUGUCGAACCGCAUGGUUCUACAGUGAAUGAUGGUCUUUCUGUCACUUAUAGAUGGAUCCGCGCCGCAUUAGCUAGUUGGGAAGGUAACGGCUUACCAAGGCAACGAUGGGUAGCCGACGUGAGAGAGUGAUAGGCCACACUGGAACUGAGCCGCGGUCACGACUCCUACGGGAGGCACCAGUAGGGAAUCUUCCGCAAUGGGCGAAAGCCUGACGGAGCAACGCCGCGUGAGUGAAGACGGUCUUCGGAUCGUGAAACUCUGUUAUUAGGGAAGAACAAAUGUGUAAGUAGCCAUGCACGUCUUGACGGUACCUGAUCAGAAAGCCACGGCUAACUACGCG